CUGCCAGGGAGCCGCCCCGCUUCCGCCGCGGCGCUGCUCAUGGGUGGGGAGGAUCGAAGUGUUUCACGCGCAGAGCCUAGCGGGGCCCGGCCCCCUGGGCCAUGGGCAGGACUGGCUGCCUUCCGCGUUCUCGGCCCCGCUUGGCUUGGGAGAGGAGCCUGGCACGGUGGCCGUGGUGGCUGUUCCUCCCUUGUCAGUCCCGGGGCUCCCACUGCCGCCUUUUGCUGAGGGUAGUCAUGGCAUGCGGACUCUUCUGUGGGGCAGUAAGCUCUCCUGGGAGGGCUGGCUCAGUCAUUGGAGUCUGAAAUAGCUGGGCUUUCCUAACGACUCUUUUGCCUUCUAGCAGGGGCAACUGACCCCUUCCUCCACUCGUGAGAGAGAAGUCUGCUAUGAUGUUUUGUUUGUAUCUUUCAGGUCCAGAGCCUGUACUGCUCUGGGCUGGCAACCAAUGCAGAAGGGAUCGAUUUAGUGGGUCUACUGAAGACCUACUAAAAUGAUGGCAGAGCACUCUCCGGUCGACCCUGGUACUCCAGCUUUCCAAGAAGAGUAAGGGAAGUCGACCAGAGAGCAUCUCCUGUCGACACAGCGCAGUGAAGACACCAGGGCACAUCUAAAUGCCUUAUGCUAAGGAGAGUGCUGAAGAGAGGUGAAACCAGGGGACAGGCAUGGACGGCUUCCACAGAGGCUGCAGAUCAGUACAUUGCAGGUGUCCAGAAGAUAAAGUAGCAUAGUAAUGAGACACACUGAAUCCAUCAUCUAGGAGGCAAACUGACAGCAUCCAUGUCUCAUGAGAGAAAGAUCAGAGCCCGUCUGGCUGUAAAGCACUGCAAGCAUUUUGGUCUUGCUGUAGCCAUGUUGGUCCCAUGCUAAGAGAGACAAGGUGGGUGAGGCAAUAUCAUUUACUGGCCCAACUUCUGUUGGUGAGAGAGACAAGCUUUCAAACUUACACAGAGCUCUUCUUCAGGUCGGGGGAAGGUACUGAGGGCAGGUCUACACUUAAAACACUGCAUAGGCACAGCUGCACUGAGCGACGUAGUUAUACCAUAGGUUUCAGAGUAGCAGCCAUGUUAGUCUGUAUUCGCAAAAAGAAAAGGAGUACUUGUGGCACCUUAGAGACUAACAAAUUUAUUUGAGCAUAAGCUUUCGUGAGCUACAGCUCACUUCAUCGGAUGCAUAGUAACUCUGUAGUGUAGACCACAGCUUAGAGCAGUGGUUCUCAACCUGCGGCCCAAUCAGCACAUAGCUGUGGUCCAUGUGACAUCCUCAGGGCCAUACAGGUAGUAUAUAUACCCUGUGGAUGGGGCCCACAUUACACCGAGAGGUGCAUAUGCGGCGUACAAUAGUAAAUAGGUUUAGAACCACUGGUUUAGAAUGUCAUGGCUAAAUACAAGAUGGACCAGAUUGUUAAACAUAGGGAGUUCAUUUUGAACGGUCUCUUGUACUAUGUGUUGAGUGGGCAGUUAACACUUUCUGCAGUGAUAGAACAAAGGACGGUAAGUGGGUUACAGACCUUUCUAAUGAGCUAUAAAUCCAGUGUCUUUACUGUCUAUGAUUUUUAGUAUCUAACAACGUUAUGAUUUAAGGUCCCAGGCUCAUCUUUUGAAAGUGUUGUGCAGAUUUCCUUUGACGAUGAGGACUGGGGAGUCAGCUAUGGUGUUAUGGAGGUGAGGGUGUUUAUCAUCCUAGCCAUGGACAUAUGUCUCUAUUGGUGCAAAAACUACCCCAGGAAUACCAAGAAAUCUUAUCUACAGCCAGGCACUCAGAUACCACAGAAUAUGCUCCAAAGAGAAAGUCCUUAACACACUUAAAAUCACCUCCAGCAAACAAGGACACACCACGAGAGACGUAGAUCACAUCAUGGAAUGGGUCACCCAAGUACCCCGAGAGAGUAUUAAUAUGGUGCAAAAAAACCAAACCUCCAAGUGCACGCCCCUUGUUGUCACCUGCCACCCCUCACUGCAACCCCAAAGGGGUAUCAUUAAACAAUUACAACCGAUGGGACCACCUCCUGAAAGAAAUCUUUCCUGAACCCCCUCCUUUUCUGGCCUUGAAACAACUCCUGAACUCUGGAGCUUAUUCUGAUGAUGAGCUUGUCCACAGACCAGGACACACACAAAGCAGCACUGAAGCCUAUCCUAACAAAAGAAGCAAAACCUGCAGACAUAUCUCCACUGCUAUGAUGAUCAAUAUCCCUUCACAAUACACCUUUCAAGAUCCAUGGGUCCUAUACAUGUUUAUCACCACAUGUGACAUCAUCAUCCAGUGCACUAAAUUCCCCAACAGCAUGGAUGUAACCGGACAAUGGCUGCAUUUUCAAAUGAACACAGAAAAAUGAUAAAAGACAAAAACCAUGUGACCCAGGAGCAAACACUUUUCACAAAAAAAUCACUCCAUAUCACACCUCUCAGGCCUCAUUCCCAAAGGAAAUCUGAACACAACCUUCAAAAAACCUGCCUAAAUUCACAAUUUUGCUAAAUACUAAAAAUCAUCGACUCAGUAAAGAUACUGGAUUUAUGGCUCAUUACAAUGAUCUGUAAUCCACUAACCUCCUCUAUUUGUCCUAUAACUGCAGGAGGAUUAAUUGACCACUUCACCUUGAAUGAUCUCUUGCAAUAUGUGUUAAUUCCUGUUGUAUCCUGGCAGCAGACAGUACAGUAGGUCUGCAAACCAUCGUCACUGAACAACCGCUUCUGCUGCCACUCUGCUCUCCUGGUGGUCUUGCAGGGCCGCUUCCGCUGCAACUCUGCUCGGCUGCUCUUGUCUCGCCAUACCAUGGCAAGUGUUUUUUUCACCUUCUUAUCUGCGCUAGCCUCUGGGACGGAGAUGCUAGUCUCAGCGUUGAAACAUUUUCAGCUGUGGGAGGAAAAAAAGGGAGAUUAAAACUGAAAAAGACACAUUGGCCAUUUAAAAGGAGGGGCUGAUGUUUUCGGGUUAACGUGCAGCACAAACUCAACUAACCCCCCCACACAUACCCAAUUCUCUGGGAUGAUCACUUCAUCCCUCCCCCCACCGUGUGGCUAACAGUGGGGAUGAUUUCUUUUCCGUCAUAGGCAAACAGCCCAGCAGGAACAGCCACCUCUGAUGUCCCCUUAAUAAAAUUCCCCUAUUUCAACCAGGUGACCAUGAAUGAAAUCACUCUCCUGAGGAUAACACAGAGAGAUAAAGAAUGGAUGUUGCUUGAAUGCCAGCAAACACCAGGACCGCACGCUGCCAUGCUUUCUUAUGUAAUGAUUCCAGACUACGUGCUACUGGCCUGCCGUGGUAAAGUGUCCUACCAUGGAGGACGCAAUAAGGCUGCCCUCCCCAGAAACCUUUUGCAACGGCUUUGGGAGUACCUCCAGGACAGCUUCAUUGAGCUGUCCCUGGAGGAUUUCCGCUCCAUCUCCAGACACGUUAACAGACUUUUCCAGUAGCUGUACUGGCUGCGAAUGCAUCCGAAGUCUUCAGGGCAAAUUAAUCAUUAAACACACUUGCUUUUAAACUGUGUAUUGUAUUUACAAAGGUACCAUAAGGCGAGGGAGGCAAACCAUCACUCCGGUGCUGCACCUAAGACUUGCCAGUUCUAUAAGGAGCUGGACACUGUCCUCGCUGGUGACCCCAGCUCCACUGCCAAGAGCCCUGUGGAUACUUCGGUGGGCCUGGAGGCAGCGGAAAGAGGACCUAACCUGGAGGGUGAAGUCAUUGAUGAAGAGGUGGAGUUAGAUGAUGAUAUGGAACUCCCAGUGGGGUAGGCAGCCAGGAACUGUUCACCACUAUGGAGGUGUCUAGCUAGUCUCAGCAGCUGCUCUCUGGGGAGCAAGAAGCAGGAGAGGAGAUGCCUGAUGUGGCUUUCAGGAACACCCCUCACACACACCAGCCGAACGUCUCCACCAGAUAAAGUGUCCAAGACACAGCAAAGAAGACAUGUUCCGGGAGAUACUGCACUUCUCCAGUGCACAGAAAAGGAAACAUAAGGAGUGGAGGGAAGCCGAAAGGCAGAACAGAAAAGAAAAUCAGGAGUUUGUUAAGGACGCUACUGAGCGGAUGAUUAAAGUCAUGGGGGAGCAAAAGCAGAUGCUGAAGUCCGUAAUAAUACUGCAGACUGAGCAAAUGCGUCCCCAUCCUUCCCUGCAGCACAUUCAGAACUCUUUUCCAUGCCCCCCCCCAACUCCGCCCGCACUGUGCUUUCCACUUUCCGGGACUUCUUGGUUUCCCCUUCACUCCACCCCCUCGGACAACUUUCAAAAUGAUAGCUGGACCUACACACAGCUCUGAAAGUCUGCUCUUCCCUGGUACCUCCUUUCCCACCAAGCAUAUUUGGGGGACGGGGGGGAGUUUCUUGUGCAAUAAAAACAAAGUUUUUGAAUGGU